GUGACGGUAGCUUACCNGAAAGGGACGGCUAACUACGUGCCAGCAGCCGCGGUAAUACGUAGNUCCCGAGCGUUGUCCGGAUUUAUUGGGCGUAAAGGGAGCGCAGGCGNUCAGGAAAGUCUGGAGUAAAAGGCUAUGGCUCAACCAUAGUGUGCUCUGGAAACUNUCUGACUUGAGUGCAGAAGGGGAGAGUGGAAUUCCAUGUGUAGCGGUGAAAUGCGUAGAUAUAUGGAGGAACACCAGUGGCGAAAGCGGCUCUCUGGUCUGUCACUGACGCUGAGGCUCGAAAGCGUGGGUAGCGAACAGGAUUAGAUGCCCUGGUAGUCCACGCCGUAAACGAUGAGUGCUAGGUGUUAGGCCCUUUCCGGGGCUUAGUGCCGGAGCUAACGCAAUAAGCACUCCGCCUGGGGAGUACGACCGCAAGGUUGAAACUCAAAGGAAUUGACGGGGGCCCGCACAAGCGGUGGAGCAUGUGGUUUAAUUCGAAGCAACGCGAAGAACCUUACCAGGUCUUGACAUCCCGAUGCUAUUCUUAGAGAUAGGAAGUUACUUCGGUACAUCGGAGACAGGUGGUGCAUGGUUGUCGUCAGCUCGUGUCGUGAGAUGUUGGGUUAAGUCCCGCAACGAGCGCAACCCUUAUUGUUAGUUGCCAUCAUUAAGUUGGGCACUCUAGCGAGACUGCCGGUAAUAAACCGGAGGAAGGUGGGGAUGACGUCAAAUCAUCAUGCCCCUUAUGACCUGGGCUACACACGUGCUACAAUGGUCGGUACAACGAGUUGCGAGCCGGUGACGGCAAGCUAAUCUCUGAAAGCCGAUCUCAGUUCGGAUUGGAGGCUGCAACUCGCCUCCAUGAAGUCGGAAUCGCUAGUAAUCGCGGAUCAGCACGCCGCGGUGAAUACGUUCCCGGGCCUUGUACACACCGCCCGUCACACCACGAGAGUUUGUAACACCCGAAGNC
rnacentral:rRNA from 1 species